rnacentral:rRNA from 1 species
UACGUAGGGUGCAAGCGUUGUCCGGAAUUAUUGGGCGUAAAGAGCUCGUCGGCGGUCUGUCGCGUCGGCUGUGAAAUCCCGAGGCUCAACCUCGGGUCUGCAGUCGAUACGGGCAAACUAGAGUAUUGCAGGGGAGACUGGAAUUCCUGGUGUAGCGGUGAAAUGCGCAGAUAUCAGGAGGAACACCGGUGGCGAAGGCGGGUCUCUGGGCAAUAACUGACGCUGAGGAGCGAAAGCGUGGGGAGCGAACAGG